CUAUAACCUUUUACUUCAUCCACAGACAUGACUAUACACUCACUCAGCACUUUUUAGGAACACUGUACUAAUACUAGGUAGGGCCUCCUCUUUGCUCUCAAAACUGUCUCAAUUCUUCAUGGCAUGGAUUCCACAAGACCUUGGAAACAUUCCUUUGAGAUUUUCAAGUGUUUCUUGCCAAAGUGUGCCAAGAAAACAUUCUGCACACCAUUACAUCACCUCCACCAGUCUGGACUGUUGACAAGGCAGGUUGGAUUCAUGCUGUUGGCGCCAGAUUCUGACCCUACUAUCUGUGUGCCUCAGCAGAAAUCAAGAUUCAUCAGACCAGGCUACGUUUUCCAGUCUUCAAUCUCCUAUUUUAGUGAACCUGUGCCCACUGCAGCCUCAGCUUUCUGUUCUUCACUGACAGAAGUGGAAUCCUUCUUCUUAUGCUUCACCUCAAGGGGCGCGGGGAGCCUGGAGCCUAUCACAGGGGACUCAAGGCACAAGGCGGGGGACACCAUGGACGGGGUGCCAACCCACUGCAGGCCACAAUCGCACACAGUGAUGCACUAUAGACAAUUUAGAGAUUCCAAUCAGCCUACAGUGCAUGUCUUUAGAUUGGGAGAAGAAACCAGAGCACCUGGAGGAUUCUCCUGAAGCACGAGGUGGAGGCGUGAAUCAAAGCCGCCUAUGAACCCAUCUAUGAUGUUUACAGUAUAAUUAGUUCAGUUUUUUUUUUUUUUUUUUUAUCACAGUACAUCACCAUAUAGGCUACCAUCCACCCCUAGUCAGGUCUAGAGAAGACUAUAUUUAAAUAAAUUAGGAUGAAAGACGUUUUUAGAUUAAAAUAACUGUUAAUUCACCCUUUGCUAUUACCUUAGCCAAGCACAAUGCAUAUGCAAAACUGGACAAAAGUAACAAUAAUAAAAAAAAAAGAAACACCUAUUAGAAACUCUGUUACAGCCUUCAUUAAAUGCUGAGGUCUCUGUUAAAUGUAUCAGUGUUGUAUUGAAUCUACCGGCCUGUAGUUAUUCUGGUGACUGGAUUCACUGUUUUGGUAGGCAUGUUCUUCUUGAUCCACCUUGCUACAUGCUACAGUCCACCAAAGCAUCCUUUAUUUUAUUGUAUGAGUUUUCUAUCUAAUAGCUAACAGCUUGAUUCUUUUCACUUCUAAGAAUAUCUCACCCACAGGCCAGGUCAGGUUUUUUUUGUGUUUCCUUUAUAUUUGUCUGUAAUUUAUAUAGACACAAAUCAAUGAGAUGGAAAAUUUAGAACAUUUUAUUUAGUAACAAGACAUGGUCAUUCACACACAUUUACUUUUAUUGUGUAUAUAUUCAGAAAAGCAGAGGAGGAUCAGUGAAAAGCUCUCACUGAAAGUGGCAUUUCAGACGAAUGAGUCACAGUCAGAGAUUGAGAACCGUAGACAUGCCAAUUCACCUUCAUUGGAGAAAAGUAAAUGAAAAAUGGUAAAUGAUUGCACCAUUCUGCUAGUUUUAUCACUGCAAUCGGAAACAGUGUGUUGUUCAGAUAACAGAUGGCAAUUCCCAUAUAAAUGACUUUUUGGGGUGCUCAAAAAGUCAUCUGUUGUAGCACAUAACUAAGCAUUAAUCCUUUGCUAAGAUGGAGGAAUCAAUAAUCCCUAUCUUACCUGUUAGGUAGGUGAGCUAAACUAAUCUCUCCUGAGGAUUACCGCAGCAUAUCUCGAACAGAAUGAAAGAAAGAAUGCAGCACUAUCUCCAUUUACAGCCAGGCACUGUGGCUCUUCCCUGUUCUAUCAUGUAUCAGUUAAGGCCCUCCAUCAGAUGCCCGCAUACAGACAGUUUAUAAGAUCUGCUCUAGCAAUCCAACCAUGAAAUUGUUUACAGGGACAUAAAUCUGUUGCAACAUCACACCAUUCUUGCUUCUUACAUUGCAGCUUACUUUUUCUACCAUUUUCUAUAUAUGAAGGAAAAGAUUUAUAUACAUGAAGUGAAGAAAUAUUUUAUCAGAACUCCUUUUCAGCUCCAACCUGUCACGUAUUCCAUAUAAUGAAGGUUAGGAUGGAUGCAAGUGCAGAUAAGAGCUUUUAAUUAAGAGAGGCAGGCAGACAAAUCCAAAUCAUGAGACAAUAGCAUGGUCAAAAACAGGCAAUGGGUCAGGCGAUCAGCAAGCAGGCAUAAACUAGGCAAGGCAAGAAUCGAGAAUGAGAAACCAGAAACAAGAAACAAGAUCAAAGAACAUGAAUCAAAACGAGGAACAGGGUACAAACGCUUGGUGUGGUGAUAACACUCAAUACCUGGCAAAGAGUGAAUGCCUCUAAAGUCCUUUUAAACUGUGGUGUGUGUAUGAGAUUGGAUGCAGGUGUGUGUGAUUAGAAUGAAUGAAUGUCCGGGGAAUUGCAGUCCAUGGCGGCCAUGUUUGUAGGCCACAGUGCAUGAUGGGAAAUGUACAUAUCUGGUUUGCUGUGAUAUGACACAGCCUUACAUAUCAUCCUCCUUGUUCUUCACCUAUUAUUUGUCUCCAGGACUCUAGCACAUGAAGGUGUCUGAUGGUCUAAAGUAUGUUGAUAGUUUGUUAGCUGUGCUUUAAAAGCAAAUCAACACAUGCCCUUAAAUAUCUUUAAUCAAAUAUUUUUAAAACAAAGAAUUAGUUAUUGGGGCGCAUGGUGGCUUAGUGGUUAGCAUGUUUGCCUCACACCUCCAGGGUUGGGGGUUCGAUUCCCACCGUGGCCCUGUGUGUGGAGUUUGCAUGUUCUCCCCGUGCUGCUGGGGUUUCCUCCAGGUACUCUGGUUUCCUCCCCCAGUCCAAAGACAUGCAUGGUAGGCUGAUUGGUGUGUCUGUAGUGUAUGAGUGGGUGUGUGAGUGUGUAUGUGAGUGUGCCCUGCGAUGGAUUGUCACCCUGUCCAGGGUGUACCCCGCCUUGUGCCCGAUGCUCCCUGGGAUAAGCUCCAGGUUCCCCAUGACACCGAAAAAGAUAGAAGAUGGAUGGAUGGAUGGAUGGAAUUAGGUAUUGUAUUAACUCAUUGUAUCAUUGCAGUCAUUGUGGAGAGAAUUAACUAUUUUCUCAUUGACAAAGCAAACAUUUAAUUCAACUCAGAACAAGCUCUGAAAGCCAAGUAUAACUACACUGAGCAACACCUUCAUCAGUAGAACCAUGAAUUCUGAUUUAGUAUUUCCUAUAGUGUUGUGCAAAGGUCUUAGGCACACUAUAUUUUGUUAAAUAAAAAAUCUGGUCAUAGAUGUUUAAAUCAUCUACAAUAAUUUCUUAUUGUCUUAGCAGAAAAGAGCUAAUUUUAUAUUCCUAAACACUUAUUUUCCAACUAUAAAGAAGAAGAUCAUGUGUUCAAUUUUGUUUUUGUUCACUGUAGAUUCCUGUCUUUGGCUGACAGGAGAGGAACCUAAUGUAGCCGAUUCAGCUUAAGAUUCGACGUGUGAUCUGAGAUGCUUUUCUACUCACCAGGUUGUCCCAUCCCGGCUCCAGACUCCCCCAUGACCCUGUGUAGGAUAAACAGAGCAGAAAAUGGAUGCAUGGUUGGAUGGAUGCACCUUAAGCUUCAAAAUGGUAAAAUGUUAACGUUUUUACUUUUUCUCCUUUUCAAUGUUAUUUUUUUUACAUGCUUAAUUUUAUGCAAUUUAAGCAAUUUUCAAAGGUGUAUAUGAAACUUAUUACAGUAUUAACAUGGCACUCAUGCUUUAGUAUUUUACUUAAUUGAGUCACACUCAAAGUAAUCCUCUUCCUUCAUUUCCACAUACAAGUUGUUGUAAUUUAAUACCUUUCAUGAGUACACAGUGACAGGCUUGUGUAUAGGUUUCACUCAGUAAAAAUGCGGUUGUGUGUGAAUGUGAAUUCACUGUCUUUGUGUUGAAAGCACAGGUGGGUGGCAAGAGCAGUGGUGCCCUCGAGAGUGAAUUGAAGUCCAUUACAGGAAUAUUCCAGUGAGAUUUAUAUCAAUCAACCUCUAUUUUUCAUAUCUGUUUCUUGUACUGAAAAUAAAAGAACAGGAAAUCUAUUUACACAAUGUCACUUUAUAAAUGAAGCCUGAAGGUGGUAGGUGAAUUCUUUUAAAAUACAUGACUAUAUAGUACAAAUUCAAAACUACAACUAUUAGACUUUCUUGAGAUUUAAGCACAAGAAAGACUUACCAAAACUACUCUUAUGUAGUGUUAUCCAACUUUCCAACACCGGAGUAAUACGAGAACAAGAUAUUCCCAUUACUUUCCUGAAGGUUUUGUAUUAUUCAUGCACAAAUGUAAAAUGUCAAAUUCGAGAAAAAAAUGUGUAACAUUUUUACACACUUACUUUCACAAAGAUCUCUGACUCAAGAAAACAUUAUACAAAAAUGUGUUUCAUAUUAAUGAUUAUUGGUUGCCUCAACAACUGCCAAGUUUUUUAUUUCUAAGUACAGGGAAAUGUGUUUAAAUACUUGUCCAUAUUAAUGACCCACACACUAUAAUUGCAUUGGAUCUCAGACUCUUUCAGACUUAACUAAAGCCUGGUUCAUUUGCAGAAAAGACUAGAAGUGUGCACAGGACUGGGGUUUUUUGUCUGCUCCCGAAGGAAUGCUGAUCUCGCCCCCACUCCUGCAAUUAAUAUCAUUUGUUUGUAUCCAAAUACAAUAUUUUAUAAUAAACUUAGUUAGUUCAAUUUUCCAAAAUAUAAACAAAUUAGUAAUUUAAGCCAGCUUAAGUGAUGCUUCGUGUAAAGCUGCACGACUAACUGUUAAUAAACAUGUCCUUUAUUUGUCCUGCAAGCUUCAUAUCUCACUACCCGCUACUGACCACAUGAAAGUAAAAACCGUUGGGUCCCAUGGGAUCUUGGUCAUGAUACAGACCACAAGAAUAUAUAUAUCUAUCAUCAUAGAGCCAACCAGACUAACUGACUUCUGUCAGUCAGAAGACUAUAGUUCACUUUGAUACAGUACCUGUACCAUAGCCAAUAAAAUCUGCAUGUGAUUUUUUAAUAAGACACUCUGAAUGGAAGAAAAUAUAGAGCAAAUAUACAGUACAUAUAGUAUACAUCUCUAUAUGUAACUACACAUAA